rnacentral:rRNA from 1 species
CACGCCGUAAACGUUGAGAACUAAGUGUUGGGGAGACCCAGUGCUGAAGCUAACGCAUUAAGUUCUCCGCCUGAGGAGUACGCACGCAAGUGUAAAACUUAAAGGAAUUGACGGGGGCCCGCACAAGCAGUGGAGCAUGUGGUUUAAUUCGAGGCUACGCGAAGAACCUUACCAGGGCUUGACAGGAAACUUAAGACCCUAGAGAUAGGGCUUUUCUACGGAACAGAGUGACAGGUGG